rnacentral:rRNA from 1 species
UACGUAGGGUGCAAGCGUUAAUCGGAAUUACUGGGCGUAAAGCGUGCGUAGGCGGUGACUCAAGUCAGAGGUGAAAGCCUGGAGCUCAACUCCAGAACUGCCUUUGAGACUAGGUCGCUAGAAUCUGGGAGAGGUGAGUGGAAUUCCGAGUGUAGAGGUGAAAUUCGUAGAUAUUCGGAAGAACACCAGUGGCGAAGGCGGCUCACUGGACCAGAAUUGACGCUGAGGCACGAAAGCGUGGGGAGCAAACAGGAUUAGAUACCCUAGUAGU